CCUACGGGAGGCAGCAGUGGGGGAUAUUGCACAAUGGGGGGAACCCUGAUGCAGCGACGCCGCGUGGGUGAAGAAGCGCCUCGGCGCGUAAAGCCCUGUCAGCAGGGAAGAAAAUGACGGUACCUGACGAAGAAGCCCCGGCUAACUACGUGCCAGCAGCCGCGGUAAUACGUAGGGGGCAAGCGUUCUCCGGAUUUAAUGGGUGUAAAGGGGGCGCAGACGGCGAUGCAAGCCAGGAGUGAAAGCCCGGGGCCCAACCCCGGGACUGCUCUUGGAACUGCGUGGCUGGAGUGCAGGAGGGGCAGGCGGAAUUCCUGGUGUAGCGGUGAAAUGCGUAGAUAUCAGGAGGAACACCGGUGGCGAAGGCGGCCUGCUGGACUGCAACUGACGUUGAGGCCCGAAAGCGUGGGGAGCAAACAGGAUUAGAGACCCUAGUAGUC
rnacentral:rRNA from 1 species